CGCAUCUGUGCAUGCAGCAUAUCAAUAAGCGGAGGAAAAGAAACUAACAAGGAUUCCCCUAGUAACGGCGAGUGAAGCGGGAAGAGCUCAAAUUUGAAAUCUUAAAGGGUUUCCCUUUACGAAUUGUAGUUUAAAGAAGUGUUUUCUGUUGAGGUUUUGGUAAAAGUUCUUUGGAAUAGGACAUCAUAGAGGGUGAGAAUCCCGUAUUUGACCUUUACUUUCAACUUUGUGAUACACUUUCAAAGAGUCGGAUUGUUUGGGAAUGCAGUCCAAAAUGGGUGGUAAAUUUCAUCUAAAGCUAAAUAUUAGGCGAGAGACCGAUAGCGAACAAGUACCGUGAGGGAAAGAUGAAAAGAACUUUGAAAAGAGAGUUAAACAGUACGUGAAAUUGUCAAAAGGGAAGCGUUUGACACCAGUGUUGUUUUUCUGAAAAUCAAUUAAAGAACUGUUUAUGCUAAGCUGUUUAGACUUUAUCAGCUAACUGUUUAGUUUUGAGCUUUUCUUUAAUGCACUUUUCAGUUAACAAGUCAACAUUCAAUUUCUUUUGCUGUAAAAAAGCUUGAGGAAGGUGGCUUGAGAUUCGUCUUAAGUGUUUAUAGCCUCUUGCCUAUGCAGUCGGAGAGAUUGAGGUCUGCAGCGUAGAUCCUUCGGGGCUAAAUGCAUUUGUGCCUAAGUUAUAACAUUUUAUAGACAACUUGUUGACUAUGAUUUGUCUUGUAGCUUACUCGCUUAUGUUAUUUUACCUACGCUUAGGAUGUUGAGCGCAUGUCUCUCUCU
rnacentral:rRNA from 1 species